GGCAAGCUUCCUUCUAUGUAUCCCUUCUUUUGCUAUACUUUGUUUAACGCUACAAGGAGUUACCAUUCACUCCAACAACGCUCUUUCACUCAGCUCAUUUAAUCUCUCAAUUUAAGAAAUGAACCUAUCCUCUCCCAAACCUUUUUCAGCCACGACACAGUGCAGGCCACCAUCCACUAUCCAGACCACGGCUUGGCUGUCCUCGGUUAGGUGUCCAUCUCUGAUCUAACCUGCUGUAGCCAGAGAGCAGAAGUCACCAAGUUUUUCCAUUGACUGCGCACUAUGUGGCUGGCACAAUUCCUAUAUGGAGAAUUAGGACCUCUACCCAAAGGAGCUUAUGUUCUAAGGCACAUGCAGAGGAGCCAGCAGAAGACUCCAAUCCCCCAAAGGGAUGAUUGAGCAAGUUUGGAAAUGUCCUGAAUCUCAGCAAACACUUCAAGCAACAGAUGAACUUCUAAUGUGUUAAGUCACUGAGAUAUUUGGGCUUAUUUAUUAUGAAUGUUAGGCUCUUCUGAAUAAAACAAACUUCCACCCUCAUAAUAUCAGCAUGAGGGCUUAAGUGGCAAUAAGACAAAUCAGGCAAAGGAUGUCAGCUGACCUUGGAGACUGGACAGACAUAUGGGAUAAAUCAGGAAUGCGAAGGAGAUUUUAGUGGUGGAAAUCACUGGGUGUGGGGAGACCAGUGGUUGAUUACAAAAGCUGGGAAUAAGGCUAACCAUGGAUAUGAAUCUUAAAUAGCUGUAAAGUUGGAAGACCACGGUAGCUGGGGGUGAGAGCUAGGGUCAAGAAGAUUUUCUAAAAAUCAAUGUUAUGUUCUCUGAGAGGCCUUUCAUGAUACCUAAGUAACACCCCUCUACCCUGACUCCUUUAUUCCUUUCCAUGACACUUUGACAUAUAAUACACAUUUUAAUAAUACAUUUAUUUGCUGAAUUAAUUAUUUAUUGUUUUACCCAGUAUAAUGUUUCAUAAGA